GACAGAGGGUGCGAACGUUGUUCGGAAUCACUGGGCGUAAAGCGCACGUAGGCGGAUGUGUCAGUCAGGGGUGAAAUCCCGGAGCUCAACUUCGGAACUGCCUUUGAUACAGCACGUUUCGAGUCCGGAAGAGGUGGGUGGAAUUCCUAGCGUAGAGGUGAAAUUCGUAGAUAUUAGGAAGAACACCGGUGGCGAAGGCGGCCCACUGGUCCGGUACUGACGCUGAGGUGCGAAAGCGUGGGGAGCAAACAGG
rnacentral:rRNA from 1 species